UACGUAGGGGGCUAGCGUUGUCCGGAAUCAUUGGGCGUAAAGAGCGUGUAGGCGGCCCGGUAAGUCCGCUGUGAAAGUCGGGGGCUCAACCCUCGAAUGCCGGUGGAUACUGUCGGGCUAGAGUGCGGAAGAGGCGAGUGGAAUUCCUGGUGUAGCGGUGAAAUGCGCAGAUAUCAGGAGGAACACCAAUUGCGAAGGCAGCUCGCUGGGACGGUACUGACGCUGAGGCGCGAAAGCGUGGGGAGCAAACAGG
rnacentral:rRNA from 1 species